rnacentral:rRNA from 1 species
CAAAUAGCGUAUAUUAAAGUUGUUGCCGUUAAAAAGCUCGUAGUUGAAUUUCGGAAUUUUUUUAUCGGUUGAAUCAACAGGUUCGUACUGAUUUUAAGAAUUUCUACCUUCUGGAGAACCUUAAUGUCAUUUAUUUGAUGUUUUGGGAAACCAGGACUGUUACCUUGAAAAAAUUAGAGUGUUUAAAGCAGGCUUAUGUCUGAAUAUAUUAGCAUGGAAUAAUGAAAUAGGACGGCAUGGUUCUAUUUUGUUGGUUUCUAGGAUCACCGUAAUGAUUAAUAGGGAUAGUUGGGGGCAUUAGUAUUCAAUUGUCAGAGGUGAAAUUCUUGGAUUUAUUGAAGACUAACUUCUGCGAAAGCAUUUGCCAAGGAUGUUUUCAUUAAUCAAGAACGAAAGUUAGGGGAUCGAAGACGAUCAGAUACCGUCGUAGUCUUAACCAUAAACUAUGCCGACUAGGAAUCGGACGAAGUUAAUUUUUUAAUGACUCGUUCGGCGCCUUACG